UAGGGAAUCUUCCGCAAUGGGCGAAAGCCUGACGGAGCAACGCCGCGUGAGUGAAGAAGGAUUUCGGUUCGUAAAGCUCUGUUGUUAGGGAAGAAUGAUUAUGUAGUAACUAUACAUAGUAGAGACGGUACCUAACCAGAAAGCCACGGCUAACUACGUGCCAGCAGCCGCGGUAAUACGUAGGUGGCAAGCGUUGUCCGGAAUUAUUGGGCGUAAAGCGCGCGCAGGUGGUUUAAUAAGUCUGAUGUGAAAGCCCACGGCUCAACCGUGGAGGGUCAUUGGAAACUGUUAAACUUGAGUGCAGGAGAGAAAAGUGGAAUUCCUAGUGUAGCGGUGAAAUGCGUAGAGAUUAGGAGGAACACCAGUGGCGAAGGCGGCUUUUUGGCCUGUAACUGACACUGAGGCGCGAAAGCGUGGGGAGCAAACAGGAUUAGAUACCCUGGUAGUCCACGCCGCAAACGAUGAGUGCUAAGUGUUGGUCUCAUAAGAGAUCAGUGCUGCAGCUAACGCAUUAAGCACUCCGCCUGGGGAGUACGACCGCAAGGUUG
rnacentral:rRNA from 1 species